rnacentral:rRNA from 1 species
GGAGGAAAAGAAACCAACAGGGAUUGCCUCAGUAACGGCGAGUGAAGCGGCAAGAGCUCAAAUUUGAAAUCUGGAGCCUUCGGCUUCCGAGUUGUAAUUUGAAGAGGAUGUUUCGGUUGCGGCCUGGGCCUAAGUUCCUUGGAACAGGACGUCAUGGAGGGUGAGAAUCCCGUACAUGGCUGCAGGCUUGCUUCCAUGUGAAACUCCUUCGAAGAGUCGAGUUGUUUGGGAAUGCAGCUCAAAAUGGGUGGUAAAUUUCAUCUAAAGCUAAAUAUUGGCGGGAGACCGAUAGCGCACAAGUAGAGUGAUCGAAAGAUGAAAAGCACUUUGAAAAGAGAGUUAAACAGUACGUGAAAUUGUUGAAAGGGAAGCGCUUGCAAUCAGACUCGCUUUCGGUUGAUCAACGUUCCUUUUGGUUCGUGCACUCUGCCGUUGGCGGGCCAGCAUCAGUUGAGGCGGCGGGACAAAGGUAGCGGGAAUGUGGCUCCCUCGCGGGAGUGUUAUAGCCCGUUGCGCCAUGCCGCCAGCUUCGACUGAGGUCCGCGAUUUAUCUAGGAUGCUGGCUUAAUGGUUGUAAGCGACCCGUCUUGAAACACGGACCAAGGAGUCUAACAUCUAUGCGAGUCUUUGGGUGUCAAACCCAUGGGCGGAAUGAAAGUGAACGGAGGUGGGAGUCCUCGGAUGCACCAUCGACCGAUCCUGAUGUCUUCGGAUGGAUUUGAGUAUGAGCAUAGCUGUUGGGACCCGAAAGAUGGUGAACUAUGCCUGAAUAGGGUGAAGCCAGAGGAAACUCUGGUGGAGGCUCGCAGCGGUUCUGACGUGCAAAUCGAUCGUCAAAUUUGGGUAUAGGGGCGAAAGACUAAUCGAACCAUCUAGUAGCUGGUUCCUGCCGGAG